rnacentral:rRNA from 1 species
AGGGAAUCUUCGGCAAUGGACGGAAGUCUGACCGAGCAACGCCGCGUGAGUGAAGAAGGUUUUCGGAUCGUAAAGCUCUGUUGUAAGAGAAGAACGAGUGUGAGAGUGGAAAGUUCACACUGUGACGGUAUCUUACCAGAAAGGGACGGCUAACUACGUGCCAGCAGCCGCGGUAGUACGUAGGUCCCGAGCGUUGUCCGGAUUUAUUGGGCGUAAAGCGAGCGCAGGCGGUUAGAUAAGUCUGAAGUUAAAGGCUGUGGCUUAACCAUAGUACGCUUUGGAAACUGUUUAACUUGAGUGCAAGAGGGGAGAGUGGAAUUCCAUGUGUAGCGGUGAAAUGCGUAGAUAUAUGGAGGAACACCGGUGGCGAAAGCGGCUCUCUGGCUUGUAACUGACGCUGAGGCUCGAAAGCGUGGGGAGCAAACAGGAUUAGAUACCCUGGUAGUCCACGCCGUAAACGAUGAGUGCUAGGUGUUAGACCCUUUCCGGGGUUUAGUGCCGCAGCUAACGCAUUAAGCACUCCGCCUGGGGAGUACGACCGCAAGGUUG